CCUACGGGAGGCAGCAGUGGGGAAUAUUGGACAAUGGGCGGAAGCCUGAUCCAGCCAUGCCGCGUGUGUGAAGAAGGCCUUUUGGUUGUAAAGCACUUUAAGCGAGGAGGAGGCUACUAGUAUUAAUACUACUGGAUAGUGGACGUUACUCGCAGAAUAAGCACCGGCUAACUCUGUGCCAGCAGCCGCGGUAAUACAGAGGGUGCGAGCGUUAAUCGGAUUUACUGGGCGUAAAGCGUGCGUAGGCGGCUGAUUAAGUCGGAUGUGAAAUCCCUGAGCUUAACUUAGGAAUUGCAUUCGAUACUGGUCAGCUAGAGUAUGGGAGAGGAUGGUAGAAUUCCAGGUGUAGCGGUGAAAUGCGUAGAGAUCUGGAGGAAUACCGAUGGCGAAGGCAGCCAUCUGGCCUAAUACUGACGCUGAGGUACGAAAGCAUGGGGAGCGAACAAGAGUAGUAUACCUCGUAGGUCCACUGCGUAACGAUNUCUACUACGCGUCGGGUUCGUUGUAGACGUUUAGUUGGUCGGCGCGCGUAACGUACGACGUUAAGUUAAGUACCGACCGUUCGGGUAGGGUUACGGGUUCGGUUCCGACGAACGAAACCGUUAACCGUUAACGGAAAGUUAGUUACGGACGGNGAGGACGACGCGACGGACGGACGACGACGGAGGGUAGGUUAAGG
rnacentral:rRNA from 1 species